rnacentral:rRNA from 1 species
UACGUAGGGUGCGAGCGUUAAUCGGAAUUACUGGGCGUAAAGCGUGCGCAGGCGGUUUUGUAAGCCAGAUGUGAAAUCCCCGGGCUCAACCUGAGAAUGGCAUUUGGAACUGCAAGACUAGAGUAUGGCAGAGGAGACUAGAAUUUCUGGUGUAGCAGUGAAAUGCGUAGAUAUCAGAAGGAAUACCGAUGGCGAAGGCAGGUCUCUGGGUUAAUACUGACGCUCAUGCACGAAAGCGUGGGGAGCAAACAGG